AUCGCUUCUCGGCCUUUUGGCUAAGAUCAAGUGUAGUAUCUGUUCUUAUCGGCCUUUUGGCUAAGAUCAAGUGUAGUAUCUGUUCUUAUCAGUCUGCCUUUUCUUGCCGGCCCAGGUCCUUGUGGGUACCCCCUGCACUCUGCCUUUGAGCAUCGUUGAUUAAAUUCAGCUUCAGCUCACUGCUGCU